UUAAUAAUUACCUACGGUACCUACAACUUUUAAAAUACUAACUGUAUGGGUAGAAGUACUAUGUACAAAACUGAAUUUGCGUAGUAGUCUGUGGUUUUAAAGAUUUUGACUCUAUGACGUGACGUUUGUGACGUUUCACUCGACGCUUAAAAUAACCUAAAAUACAAUUUGUUUAUUUUGCAAUUUACGCGUUUAACGGUUUUGUCUUAUUCCUAUUAAACUUUUAUAUUAGUUUGCUUCAUUAUAUGCAUCGUAUAGAGGAAUACAGUUAGUUGUGUAGUAGUGUUUUAAAAUCGCGGUUGUUUGAUACCUUGCCCAUAAAAUAGCUAAGAAUUUUAUUUUCAUGUGCAUAAAUUUCAAAACAUAAAUCCUUAAUGUGCGCUGUGUUUGUGAUAAUGCUUUUAUAAAUUGACUAAAGCACUUAAUUCUUAGUUAGAUUGAGAGGUAAGUCAUAUUUUGGCGAGAUGCUGUCAUUGGUAAGUCUAAUUUUUUAUUUGAAAUUGUUUGUUAAUAAUAUUUAUAUCAAUUUUAAAGUGAGUUACAAACUUACAGCCUGUAUUUUAGGCUUUUUUUAAAAUGAAUUCUUUCUGUUUUACAUGAAAUUAAGUGAAUGUCUGCAAAAUGUUUCAUACUAGAACACGGUCUAAAAUUUAAUGCUGAUAAUUUUUAAAAAUCAAAUAAAUUAUUCAACCAUCAAUCUAUUGUUUUACUAUAUGACCUACCAAAGUUUUACCCUGCACGAAAAGGCAAAAUAUAAAAAUUAACAUAGAUUUUACUAUUUUCAAAUUAGAAAUAGACUAAGUAAAGUGAAUGUGGCACUUGUUAAGUAUGAUCUGUUGUAAACAAACUUCUCGAAUGUUUUUUUAAAAAUUGCAUUUAAGUUUUGACUUCACCAACUAUUGUUAUCAAACCUGACAGUAAAAAAUCUCAGUUUACCAGUUAGCCUGAAUUUCUGUAACGGAACAUAAGUGAUUCAAAGUGGACUUUUAUUAGUUGAAACAAAUUUUUAAACACAGCUAAGCUGACUCGACAGAUAAGUCAUAGGAAAAUGGCAGCUGUUUAUGAAAUAAGAAUGCUUCUUCAAUAAAUGUAAGGGCUGCAAAUUGUUUACAUUAUUGAAAAUUUGCAAAAAGUUCGAAAUGUUUCACUGUAUAUACCUUUGGUUUUGCUAAGUUCCUACUAUUUUCGUAUUCUUCAAAUGUACUCACAACUUCACAACAAGAAGGUAUAAACUAUAAAGGUUUCAACACAGAUAGUUGUAAAUUGUAUCAUUAUUAUAAUCAAAAGUCUAAAAGGAAAAUUUUAUUUCCAAUGAGGUAAUGUAUAAUAUAUAUUUGUGUAGAAACACAUCAAUAUUUUAAAUUUUAAUGCAUCAUUUAAAUGUUUCGAUUGAAAAUAUUUACAGAUGCAAUGAUCAUACCAUCAAGGUACAAGAGAGGCCAGGGUAUGCUUCUAUUCCGUGGCUAUACUUAUUCGUGGAGGAAUCACAAAAAGAAUGGCAAUUAUUGGACAUGUUCCAGUCAUCAUAAGAAAGGUUGCAAAGCUCAUGCCACCACAAAUGAAACCGAAAAACCAUUUGAAGUGACAUCUUUUCACACUAAUCACAAUCACCCACCACCUAAAUUAAAAAUUUCCCCAGAUAUUGAAUUUGUGGAUUCGUGAUGUUGUCCUUGUAUAAUUCGUUUGUAUAGGAGUCUGCAGUAAGCAAAUAUUAUUGCUAUAGCUUGUGCUAUUGGAUUUGACAGAAAAACUACAUAAGUAAUUUUUAUGGUUGGAAAAAACAAGGGGAUUGGAAUAAUCCACCCUACCAAUUAUGCAGGCUAGGAUUUUUCGAAGUUAAAUGUUUUGAAAUAAAUUGCUUGUUACCUUAUUUAAAAAUGAUGGCCUAUUAAAUGUAUUCGUUAUUUUUUUAAUUAAUAGACUGGAAAUUAUUAUCCAGCAAAGAUUUGACAAACGACAAGCAUUGAAUGUAUUGAAAUUUGUUGUAUAUUAACUCUAAAUAAAUUUUAUGUAAUGUUCAAGUUUUUUUUUUUCUCUCCGCUUAACCUCAAAACUUUGUGCAGUAUGUUUAUGAAUAUAUAUUAUUAUGUAUAAUUUUACUUAAAAAUUACGUAAAAUUACAGAAAUACAUUUCAUUCCUUCGAAGAAAGGAUGCAAUUUAUUAGUUUAUGAAAAAUAUACAUAUGCAAAAAACUGUCAAAGUAAAAACAGAACGACUUGGACAUGUUCAUCUCGAUGCUCAAAAAAGUGUAAUGCGCAAGUACUGUUAGGUAAUAAUGGAGAAUUCAUUGUGAUCAAUGAUGAGCACAGUCAUUCACCUCCAGUCUUCUAUGUGAACGACCUAGGCGAAUAUGUGAGGGUAAUCGAGAGAAAACCAAAGGAGACUUAAAUAAAAUGUUAAGUAACUGCAGCUGUGAUAAACGCUAUAUUAAAAAAAUCCUUUAUUCAAUAAGUUCAAAUUAUCAACAAAUAGAUGUAAGUUGUUAUGGAAAUAAGAGAACCUUAUGUAAUUUAAAUUCUUAGAGAGGAGAAAACCUAUGAUAUUCAGUAGACUUAAGACAUAUGCAUUCAUUUAUGGCUGAUAUUGUUGGAAUGUUACGUAUAAAUUUUUUGUAUGAUCUGUAUUUCAUUUGCAAAGAAAAUGAUUUUGUACGUUUAUACCUAUCUAUAAUAUUAUUACUACUAUGUAUAUAUUUUAUAAUUUAUAAGGUCACUAUUUCAAUUGUACACAAGAAGGGCAAUAUACAGGUAUUUUCAUUGUAAAACAAUGAAUCACGUUAUUCAAAACUUUAAGGCAUUUAAGUAUGCAUGUACCUGAGCGUAUGUUAAAAUACAAUAAAUAAAUAAUGCAACACA